rnacentral:misc_RNA from 1 species
AGACGUUUCCAUUCUCAGAAGCAUUAUAUGUAUAAACGCUCUAUCUGUCUUUCUCGCUCCUUACUUUCCUUAAAUUUGAAAAGAAUCAGAUAACUCGCUAUAUGUUUUUAUCUGUAUAUGCGCGUGUAGAGGGCGCGUGAUUGUUUUCAAUUUGAAUUAUGGCUACCGGAGUGGAAUCGUCGUCGCCGGAGACUGGGAAGGUUGCGGUGGCGCUUGAUUUUCCUCUGAGUGAUACGCAUUCGUUCACUUCUCCACCUAGAAUACCUAGCAGGCUUCGGAAAAGACUGUUGGAGGAGGCUAGGACUCCUAGUACUGUUGAAGAAAUUGAAGCUAAACUU